AUAUUUUGAACCGCAUGGUUCAAAAGUGAAAGACGGUCUUGCUGUCACUUAUAGAUGGAUCCGCGCUGCAUUAGCUAGUUGGUAAGGUAACGGCUUACCAAGGCAACGAUGCAUAGCCGACCUGAGAGGGUGAUCGGCCACACUGGAACUGAGACACGGUCCAGACUCCUACGGGAGGCAGCAGUAGGGAAUCUUCCGCAAUGGGCGAAAGCCUGACGGAGCAACGCCGCGUGAGUGAUGAAGGUCUUCGGAUCGUAAAACUCUGUUAUUAGGGAAGAACAUAUGUGUAAGUAACUGUGCACAUCUUGACGGUACCUAAUCAGAAAGCCACGGCUAACUACGUGCCAGCAGCCGCGGUAAUACGUAGGUGGCAAGCGUUAUCCGGAAUUAUUGGGCGUAAAGCGCGCGUAGGCGGUUUUUUAAGUCUGAUGUGAAAGCCCACGGCUCAACCGUGGAGGGUCAUUGGAAACUGGAAAACUUGAGUGCAGAAGAGGAAAGUGGAAUUCCAUGUGUAGCGGUGAAAUGCGCAGAGAUAUGGAGGAACACCAGUGGCGAAGGCGACUUUCUGGUCUGUAACUGACGCUGAUGUGCGAAAGCGUGGGGAUCAAACAGGAUUAGAUACCCUGGUAGUCCACGCCGUAAACGAUGAGUGCUAAGUGUUAGGGGGUUUCCGCCCCUUAGUGCUGCAGCUAACGCAUUAAGCACUCCGCCUGGGGAGUACGACCGCAAGGUUGAAACUCAAAGGAAUUGACGGGGACCCGCACAAGCGGUGGAGCAUGUGGUUUAAUUCGAAGCAACGCGAAGAACCUUACCAAAUCUUGACAUCCUUUGACAACUCUAGAGAUAGAGCCUUCCCCUUCGGGGGACAAAGUGACAGGUGGUGCAUGGUUGUCGUCAGCUCGUGUCGUGAGAUGUUGGGUUAAGUCCCGCAACGAGCGCAACCCUUAAGCUUAGUUGCCAUCAUUAAGUUGGGCACUCUAAGUUGACUGCCGGUGACAAACCGGAGGAAGGUGGGGAUGACGUCAAAUCAUCAUGCCCCUUAUGAUUUGGGCUACACACGUGCUACAAUGGACAAUACAAAGGGCAGCGAAACCGCGAGGUCAAGCAAAUCCCAUAAAGUUGUUCUCAGUUCGGAUUGUAGUCUGCAACUCGACUACAUGAAGCUGGAAUCGCUAGUAAUCGUAGAUCAGCAUGCUACGGUGAAUACGUUCCCGGGUCUUGUACACACCGCCCGUCACACCACGAGAGUUUGUAACACCCGAAGCCGGUGGAGUAACCUUUUAGGAGCUAGCCGUCGAAGGUGGGACAAAUGAUUGGGGUGAAGUCGUAACAAGGUAGCCGUAUCGGAAGGUGCGGCUGGAUCACCU
rnacentral:rRNA from 12 species